GAAGGAACUGGUGGCUGCAGUUGGGGGGAAGAUGUCACCUCAUACACAGAGUUCCCUUUUGCCCUGAACCUUUUUCCGUGCGCAAAAAAAGAUGGUUGCGUUGAGCCGGCAGAAUAUGUUUCGUGCGAGCGAGAAGAGAAAGGGGGAUCUCAGCCCUGAUUGUAAUGGCUUGGUAGGAAAUUAAAGCUGAUCUCCUGGCUCUUCAGAAGAGCUCGCAUCUUCCUGAUGGGCUCUGAUUCCGCAUUACUGAAAGGGCUUGAUUAUUAUUCUGUGCAAAUGAGAAGUAAUUCCACCGAAGCCAGAAUGGCUGCUUUUUCUGUGGACUUUGCUCCUAGCAUAGUUAAAUAAAUGCUUGGUGGUGCCUCCUUCUAGUCUACAUUGCAAAUUACUGAGGCCUUAAUUGCGUCCUCCACCCCUCCAAAUUUGGGCAAAUUAGCCUGUGUUUGUGUGGCUCCAACUUUUUGCUUGAAAUUGUUGGUGUGGAUUGUGCCAUUGUGUCUGGAGGCACAUUACUAGGUUUUGUUAAUCCGUGCUCUGGUAGCCUCCCAGUUGGAUUACUGCAAUGUGUUGCACUUGGGGCUGCCUGUGAAGAUAGUCCAGAGUUCAACUGGUGCAGAAUAUGGCUGCCAUGAUUUUAAGUGGGACCACAGGCAUCCUGAACACAUUAAUGUGUCCUUUCUGGCUUUCUGAUUGUUUCCAGGCUCAAUUCAAAGACUUGGUUUUGACCUAUAAACUCUGCAGAGAUUGAGACCUUGAUACCUGGCGGACCACUUCCUGCCCUUGUCCUAAAAUGAUAAACAGAGGUCCUUCUCCAAGAAUCAGUCUCAUUAUGAUGCAGAUAGGAGGUGAUUAUGUUUUAAGAACAUAAGAAGAGCCUGCUGUUUCAGGCCAGUGCUCAUCUAGUCCAGCAUCCUCACAGUGACCAGCCCGAUGCCAAUGGGAAGCCUAAAAGCAGGACAUGAACACAACAGCACUCUUCUCAUGUGCAAUUCUGAGCAUUCUGCCUCCGACAGUUGCAGUAGAGUAUAGCCACCAUGACUAAAAUAUAGCAAACUGAAUUCAAGAAUGGAAAAAUAAGAAG